UGGGGAAUAUUGCACAAUGGGCGAAAGCCUGAUGCAGCGACGCCGCGUGAGGGAUGACGGCCUUCGGGUUGUAAACCUCUUUCAGCAGGGAAGAAGCGAAAGUGACGGUACCUGCAGAAGAAGCGCCGGCUAACUACGUGCCAGCAGCCGCGGUAAUACGUAGGGCGCAAGCGUUGUCCGGAAUUAUUGGGCGUAAAGAGCUCGUAGGCGGUUAGUCGCGUCUGCUGUGAAAACUCGAGGCUCACCUCGGCUUGCAGUGGGUACGGGCUGACUAGAGUGCGGUAGGGGUGACUGGAAUUCCUGGUGUAGCGGUGGAAUGCGCAGAUAUCAGGAGGAACACCGAUGGCGAAGGCAGGUCACUGGGCCGGCAACUGACGCUGAGGAGCGAAAGCAUGGGGAGCGAACAGGAUUAGAUAGCCCUGGUAGUCCAUGCCGUAAACGUU
rnacentral:rRNA from 1 species